rnacentral:lncRNA from 12 species
AUGCAUUCAACGGUUCACGUGAAACGGGGGGAGAACCCGGCGCACGAAAGUGAAAGCGCUCGUGUCCCCGCAGACCCGGCUCGGCCUGCGCGGGGGGCCCGGCGCCUGACCUGGGCGCGGGGAGGCUGGCCCUGGGCCCUCGGGGCCUGCCGUGCAUCGGGGUGCCCCUCCCAGGCGCCCACCUCCAUGCCCCGGGCACAGAAAUUGGGAAAACCGUCCUCGGGCUGGAGACCAGAGACUCGGGGGGUUCGCGCGACACAGAGGCAGACAGACCCACGGCCGCAGGACGGAAGUACCAGAAUUCUCGCCGCGGCUAAACGCGCUGCCCAUGGAUCUGAGCACCCGCGCUUGCCCACUGGCGGCCGAUUCCGAGUCCCGGGGAAUGUGGGCCCAGCACGGGUGGCGAGGUGUGACCAGCGUCCCCAGGUGUGGGGCCCCAGGGGCGCUGACUCAGCCGGGGCUGCAGGAGGCAAGGGACGCCGGCAUCUCACGGAGCCCCAGCCGCCCCGCGGGCAGGUGCCACACACGAGGAGGGGGCGCCACGCAGCUCAGCUGGCCCGAGGACGGAGCCUGCACCCUCCCCGCGGAGGACAGGAGACCUCCGGUCGCUCCCUGCCGCCUCCGUUGCCCUGCGGGGCCCCCACGUCCCGCACGACCCCCAUGACCCCCAUGACCCCCAGGGUCCCCAUGGCCCUCAGGGUCCCCACAGCCCCCAGGAUCCCUACGGCCCCUAUGGCCCCCAUGACCCCCAGGGUCCCUAUAGCCCCCACGGUCCCCACGGUCCCCACAGUCCCCACGGCCCCCAGGGCUCCCCUUUCUGUCUUUCAGUUCCAGCUGGAAGCAUCUGGACAGGGACACGUGAAGCCCCAAGGGGUCCUCUCCACUCCCGGCUCCGAGCAAGACCAGACCCCCUUCUUUGAGGCCGAGCAGAGGAGAGAGAUCCCGACAGUCACAGCCAGCGGUGGCGCAAGAGACAGUCGACCCAGGAUCAGAUCUGAGGGUCUCGAAUGGGAAGAGAACAGAGUGGCUGCACGACGUGGGAACAGGUGUCAGAAGCUGCUCCGCGCCCGCUCAGGAAGGGGCCCCGGGGCGGGGAGCCGGAGCGGGAACAACCGAGACUGGGGAUGCGAGGACCGACCCGGCGUGGAGAUGGGGAUUCGAUGA